GCCGCAGACCGCCUUAUCGUCGUCCUGAUUUAUUGGGAGGGAGGAAAGUCCGGACACCACAGAGAAGCAUAGCGGGUAACACCCGUCGGCGUUAGAAAUGGCGCAAGGACAAGUGCAACAGAAAGUAUGUACAGGUAAUGCUGUAGUGAAACCAGGUAAACUCUAUGCGGUGAAAUACCAAGUAUAUCAGCAUUUAAGGGCUUCUCGUUCGUUGCUGAAGGGUAGGUAGCUUGAGUCAUGCAGUAAUGCAUGAUCUAGAUAAAUGAUAAGGCUCUGAUUUGAUCAGAGACAGAAUCCGGCUUACAGGUCUGCAUUUUUU
rnacentral:RNase_P_RNA from 2 species